AUUGAACGCUGGCGGCAUGCCUUACACAUGCAAGUCGAACGGCAGCACGGGAGCAAUCCUGGUGGCGAGUGGCGAACGGGUGAGUAAUAUAUCGGAACGUGCCCAGUCGUGGGGAUAACGUAGCGAAAGCUACGCUAAUACCGCAUACGAUCUAUGGAUGAAAGCGGGGGAUCGCAAGACCUCGCGCGAUUGGAGCGGCCGAUAUCAGAUUAGGUAGUUGGUGAGGUAAAGGCUCACCAAGCCGACGAUCUGUAGCUGGUCUGAGAGGACGACCAGCCACACUGGGACUGAGACACGGCCCAGACUCCUACGGGAGGCAGCAGUGGGGAAGUUUUAGGUACGAAUAGGGCGGCAAGACCUCGAUCCAGCAAUAGCCGCGUGCAGGAUGAAGG
rnacentral:rRNA from 1 species